GCGUUAUCGUCUGCAGCCAGCUGACAAAUCGAAGGUAAUAGGGCCGAGCGGAAUUCUGCGUAGCAGAACGACCAAGAGCACUGCAUCUAGUAGGUACGUGGCUACAUACGUACAUAUGUACCAGGAUCGCGUACGUGAUGUGCGCAUGUCGGAAUAUGUACUCGCACUACUAUGACUACGUGUGUAUAUCGCGCAGAAGCGCGGCGUAUGCGUAUACGUACACGUAAGCCUUGCGCCAGCGUGGCUCGCUAUUCCUAGCCAAUACUACUGAAACAUGCUUGCAUUCAUAGAGUGCGCCGUGGACCAGCGGGAACAUUUAACGCUCAUUGUCUUCGGUUGACGGACUUCGGAAGCAUCUGCUCUUUGGUAAGCUCGCGUUUCUAUGAGUUUCGAAUAGCGCGUCAAGGGGUUUCAAUUUCUAGAAAGUUCGACACUAGUGAAUCGCUUCUCUAUCGAAAAUUCGGUAUGUUUCAGUUUCUGUUGGCAUUGAUUUGCACUUCGAGUAAUAGCAGUCGUCUGUACACGGUAUUUCAUUUUUCUGAUUUUCCCAGAUGUAUUAGCGUCGUUCGUCGUUGAAAAGUUUUAUAUUCGUUAUUUUUUCUGUCUUAUGCGUAUAAGAUCGAGUCUAGUGAACGUUUUGGUGGAUAUAUUUAUUUGCAUAUACAUACACGUGGAAAGAAUAAGCCUCCAAACGUUUGUUAAUCGAAUAUUAGUUCGCAGAGGUUUAAAGUAAUCGAUCACCGUAAUCCUGACACACAAGAAGAUGAAUUUUCAAUUCUUAAGUAGAUUUAAGUCCGCGUUUUCUUUAGAAUGUAAACUGAAAUUUAUACGAAAAUUAUCUAUCUCGCCGUCUCGAAACGAACCUAUUAACGAUAUAUUCGUGUACUUGCGCAUUUUUAUACUACAUUGCAAUUUCUAUCCUUACAAAGAAUUUGCACGCAUCUUUAAUACGUCGCAAGAUCUUGUGUAACACAAAUUACGUAAGUUAGAUCAAAGCAAUGUUUGAUUUCGUACUCGCUGAAGGAAAAUAACGAAAAGACCGAGUGCAGAAGAUAACGAUAAUGAAGAUUCCUGGUGAUACGAAUGCAUACGUGAGCCGGUGGUUGAAGCAAUUGGCUAGUUUAACCUCUGCUCAACGGCAACUGGGAAACGUAAGAUACACGGCGCGACUGGUUCCACCUCUGGCCGCAAUCCCGACAGGGUAUUGCAGCAUAGAGUAGCGAAUAACUGUAGCUCGUACAAGCGCGACGACGCGGCAUCGUGCCAGGAGCUGGUACUCUGGCACGACCCACGACCCCCGCAUUUUCCAACCCAGGUUCUGGCAUAGGCCGCGGCACUAGGCCGACGCAAGCCAUCGCCAAUGAGUGCAUGUCUGGGGCGGAGCAUGGUCGACACCGAGCAGACGCGAUUUCGACCUGCUUUAUACCUUCCACUAUGCACCCCGUUCCAAAAAGAAAACCUUUCAGAAAUUAAUUAUUACUUGCCACUUUUACCUUCUUUUCUAACACUUUCUCCCGUAUAGACGUUUUGUUUGCACAGGCCGUGUAUACCUGUUGUUCCUCGAAGAUGCAACGAAAUUUUAUUCGCGAUUGACAACAUCCAAAAAGGUAACAUUUAUUUGCAACGAAUUUUAUUUCGUAAGAACGUACGAAAUGAAAUUGGAUAGUGCGGUAACUUGAUUCGACGCACCGUUCCGAGCAAUUUUCCUCUAUCGUCCUCAUCCAUGUUUUUUCAGUGACACGCGUCUUUACGAUGCAGACACGUAUCGAAAUAUUCUUUAACGUAUCAGCCAUUUGUCCAUACGCUACCAAUACUCCUUCCUUUCGUUCAAUUCACUUCAAUCACCGAACCAGAUCCCGCUGCUUCCUUCUCCUGUUUCAAUCUUAUCGUUUAGGAAAGAAACCACCACCGAGCGUGAAAGUGCAUUCGUUCUGGUGUCGUCAUCGGCGUCGGCAGGCACAGACGUGACCUACUUGCGCUAUUGACCUGUUGGUGAUGCUGGUGGGCGAAGUGUUGAAAGGGGGAGACGUGGAUAAGAGGGAGAAGUCCGUCCAGGUGAAGGAAAUGGUGGAGGAUACCAGGUCGGGAGGACGAGCGGCGAAGCGAGGGGACAGGGGCUGAAUGCACUUGACGCAUCAGAACACGGAGAGAACGAGCGACUGCCGCAUGCGGUCCCAGCGCGCGCAGCCUACUACUACUUAUCCUAUCCAUUCACUACACACCUAUAUAUACCUAUACAUAUAUAUACAUACACAUAUAUAGUUCGUGUCUCUAGAAACAUGUGGGAUCUUUCUUCCUGAAGGACUGACCAAACUGCCACUGAAUACCAUCGUCGUUAUUUUUAUUAUAAUUUCUCUUUCGAGUAUCGAUCAACGAAGAUCACGCAAAUUCUAA